CAUCCACAGAAAACAAGAGGGAGACACUAGGAAGAUGGCUCAGUCCACCGAGCGUGUGUCACGGGCCAGGGCUGUCGCUACUGGAUCAGAACAUUCGUUCCAAGCUCCAGGCCUGGCCAGUUCACCCUGGGGAAUAUUCACAGCUACCCUCAGAUACAGAGCUACGAUGUGCAAGUGGCCGACACUGACUACGACCAGUUUGCCAUGGUAUUUUUCCAGAAGACCUCUGAAAACAAACAGUACUUCAAAGUCACCCUGUACGACCUCCACAGAUAACAAGUCUGAGGGUUCGUUUGUUAGUUCAGUCAUACUUAUGGAGUGUCCUGCGGCUGCUCUCUGGCAAUCUUGGUUGCAGGAAGAACCAAGGGGCUGUCCGAUGAACUGAAGGAGCGAUUCGUCAGCUUUGCCAAGUCUCUGGGCCUCAAGGAUAACAACAUCGUUUUCUCUGUUCCCACCGACCAAUGCAUUGACAACUGAACAGACGGUGAGCGUGGCUGACUGGGAUGUGCAGUGGCCUGAUGGUUCAGGUCCCACCUGUCUGUCUGCCGCUCCAUCUUUCCUGUUGCCAGAGAAUCACCUGGCUGCCCCACCAGCCAUGAUUCCACCAAGCAUCUGAUCCCUCUUAUUUGAUCAGCUCUCCCCAUCCACCUGUGUUAACGCUGCCCCACCAACGGGCUCCCCCUUUCUGCUGAAUAAACACAUGUCCCCAGU
rnacentral:lncRNA from 1 species